rnacentral:rRNA from 1 species
GUGUCAGCCGCCGCGGUAAUACCGGCAGCACGAGUGAUGACCGCUAUUAUUGGGCCUAAAGCGCCCGUAGCUGGCCACGCAAGUCUAUCGGGAAAUCCGCGCGCUUAACGCGCGGGCGUCCGGUGGAAACUGCGUGGCUUGGGACCGGAAGACCAGAGGGGUACGUCCGGGGUAGGAGUGAAAUCCCGUAAUCCUGGACGGACCACCGGUGGCGAAAGCGCCUCUGGAAGACGGAUCCGACGGUGAGGGACGAAAGCUCGGGUCACGAACCGGAUUAGAUACCCUUGUAGUCC